CACCUUGGACCUGUAUGUGGGCCACGGUGUCGAGCGAAUCCUCCCUGUUCUCCGCCCGGCACCUGUACGUCCCCUCGUCCUCCUCCUGCAGGCCAUGGAUGUGCAGGCUGCUGGUGGUGGUGCCGCAGAACAGUGUGUCCAGGUCCCUGUUCUCCGCCCGGCACCUGUACGUCCCCUCGUCCUCCUCCUGCAGGCCAUGGAUGUGCAGGCUGCUGGUGGUGGUGCCGCAGAACAGUGUGUCCAGGUCCCUGUUCUCCGCCCGGCACCUGUACGUCCCCUCGUCCUCCUCCUGCAGGCCAUGGAUGUGCAGGCUGCUGGUGGUGGUGCCGCAGAACAGUGUGUCCAGGUCCCUGUUCUCCGCCCGGCACCUGUACGUCCCCUCGUCCUCCUCCUGCAGGCCAUGGAUGUGCAGGCUGCUGGUGGUGGUGCCGCAGAACAGUGUGUCCAGGUCCCUG